AGUGAACGCUGGCGGUAGGCCUAACACAUGCAAGUCGAACGGCAGCACAGUAAGAGCUUGCUCUUACGGGUGGCGAGUGGCGGACGGGUGAGGAAUACAUCGGAAUCUACUUUUUCGUGGGGGAUAACGUAGGGAAACUUACGCUAAUACCACAUACGACCUACGGGUGAAAGCAGGGGAUCUUCGGACCUUGCGCGAUUGUAUGAGCCGAUGUCGGAUUAGCUAGUUGGCGGGGGAAAGGCCCACCAAGGCGACGCUCCGUAGCUGGUCUGAGAGGAUGGUCAGCCAGACUGGAACUGAGACACGGUCCAGACUCCUACGGGAGGCAGCAGUGGGGAAUAUUGGACAAUGGGCGCGAGCCUGAUCCAGCCAUACCGCGUGGGUGAAGAAGGCCUUCGGGUUGUAAAGCCCUGUUGUUGGGAAAGAAAAGCAGCAGGUUAAUACCCCGCUGUUCUGACGGUACCCAAAGAAUAAGCACCGGCUAACUUCGUG
rnacentral:rRNA from 1 species